rnacentral:rRNA from 1 species
GGGUUGUGAGGUUAAGCGACUAAGCGUACACGGUGGAUGCCCUGGCAGUCAGAGGCGAUGAAGGACGUGCUAAUCUGCGAUAAGCGUCGGUAAGGUGAUAUGAACCGUUAUAACCGGCGAUUUCCGAAUGGGGAAACCCAGUGUGAUUCGUCACACUAUCAUUAACUGAAUCCAUAGGUUAAUGAGGCGAACCGGGGGAACUGAAACAUCUAAGUACCCCGAGGAAAAGAAAUCAACCGAGAUUCCCCCAGUAGCGGCGAGCGAACGGGGAGCAGCCCAGAGCCUGAAUCAGUGUGUGUGUUAGUGGAAGCGUCUGGAAAGGCGUGCGAUACAGGGUGACAGCCCCGUACACAAAAAUGCACAUACUGUGAGCUCGAUGAGUAGGGCGGGACACGUGGUAUCCUGUCUGAAUAUGGGGGGACCAUCCUCCAAGGCUAAAUACUCCUGACUGACCGAUAGUGAACCAGUACCGUGAGGGAAAGGCGAAAAGAACCCCGGCGAGGGGAGUGAAAAAGAACCUGAAACCGUGUACGUACAAGCAGUGGGAGCACAGAGCAAUCUGUGUGACUGCGUACCUUUUGUAUAAUGGGUCAGCGACUUAUAUUCUGUAGCAAGGUUAACCGAAUAGGGGAGCCGAAGGGAAACCGAGUCUUAACUGGGCGUUAAGUUGCAGGGUAUAGACCCGAAACCCGGUGAUCUAGCCAUGGGCAGGUUGAAGGUUGGGUAACACUAACUGGAGGACCGAACCGACUAAUGUUGAAAAAUUAGCGGAUGACUUGUGGCUGGGGGUGAAAGGCCAAUCAAACCGGGAGAUAGCUGGUUCUCCCCGAAAGCUAUUUAGGUAGCGCCUCGUGAAUUCAUCUCCGGGGGUAGAGCACUGUUUCGGCAAGGGGGUCAUCCCGACUUACCAACCCGAUGCAAACUGCGAAUACCGGAGAAUGUUAUCACGGGAGACACACGGCGGGUGCUAACGUCCGUCGUGAAGAGGGAAACAACCCAGACCGCCAGCUAAGGUCCCAAAGUCAUGGUUAAGUGGGAAACGAUGUGGGAAGGCCCAGACAGCCAGGAUGUUGGCUUAGAAGCAGCCAUCAUUUAAAGAAAGCGUAAUAGCUCACUGGUCGAGUCGGCCUGCGCGGAAGAUGUAACGGGGCUAAACCAUGCACCGAAGCUGCGGCAGCGACGCUUAUGCGUUGUUGGGUAGGGGAGCGUUCUGUAAGCCUGCGAAGGUGUGCUGUGAGGCAUGCUGGAGGUAUCAGAAGUGCGAAUGCUGACAUAAGUAACGAUAAAGCGGGUGAAAAGCCCGCUCGCCGGAAGACCAAGGGUUCCUGUCCAACGUUAAUCGGGGCAGGGUGAGUCGACCCCUAAGGCGAGGCCGAAAGGCGUAGUCGAUGGGAAACAGGUUAAUAUUCCUGUACUUGGUGUUACUGCGAAGGGGGGACGGAGAAGGCUAUGUUGGCCGGGCGACGGUUGUCCCGGUUUAAGCGUGUAGGCUGGUUUUCCAGGCAAAUCCGGAAAAUCAAGGCUGAGGCGUGAUGACGAGGCACUACGGUGCUGAAGCAACAAAUGCCCUGCUUCCAGGAAAAGCCUCUAAGCAUCAGGUAACAUCAAAUCGUACCCCAAACCGACACAGGUGGUCAGGUAGAGAAUACCAAGGCGCUUGAGAGAACUCGGGUGAAGGAACUAGGCAAAAUGGUGCCGUAACUUCGGGAGAAGGCACGCUGAUAUGUAGGUGAAGUCCCUCGCGGAUGGAGCUGAAAUCAGUCGAAGAUACCAGCUGGCUGCAACUGUUUAUUAAAAACACAGCACUGUGCAAACACGAAAGUGGACGUAUACGGUGUGACGCCUGCCCGGUGCCGGAAGGUUAAUUGAUGGGGUUAGCGCAAGCGAAGCUCUUGAUCGAAGCCCCGGUAAACGGCGGCCGUAACUAUAACGGUCCUAAGGUAGCGAAAUUCCUUGUCGGGUAAGUUCCGACCUGCACGAAUGGCGUAAUGAUGGCCAGGCUGUCUCCACCCGAGACUCAGUGAAAUUGAACUCGCUGUGAAGAUGCAGUGUACCCGCGGCAAGACGGAAAGACCCCGUGAACCUUUACUAUAGCUUGACACUGAACAUUGAGCCUUGAUGUGUAGGAUAGGUGGGAGGCUUGGAAGUGUGGACGCCAGUCUGCAUGGAGCCGACCUUGAAAUACCACCCUUUAAUGUUUGAUGUUCUAACGUUGACCCGUAAUCCGGGUUGCGGACAGUGUCUGGUGGGUAGUUUGACUGGGGCGGUCUCCUCCUAAAGAGUAACGGAGGAGCACGAAGGUUGGCUAAUCCUGGUCGGACAUCAGGAGGUUAGUGCAAUGGCAUAAGCCAGCUUGACUGCGAGCGUGACGGCGCGAGCAGGUGCGAAAGCAGGUCAUAGUGAUCCGGUGGUUCUGAAUGGAAGGGCCAUCGCUCAACGGAUAAAAGGUACUCCGGGGAUAACAGGCUGAUACCGCCCAAGAGUUCAUAUCGACGGCGGUGUUUGGCACCUCGAUGUCGGCUCAUCACAUCCUGGGGCUGAAGUAGGUCCCAAGGGUAUGGCUGUUCGCCAUUUAAAGUGGUACGCGAGCUGGGUUUAGAACGUCGUGAGACAGUUCGGUCCCUAUCUGCCGUGGGCGCUGGAGAAUUGAGGGGGGCUGCUCCUAGUACGAGAGGACCGGAGUGGACGCAUCACUGGUGUUCGGGUUGUCAUGCCAAUGGCACUGCCCGGUAGCUAAAUGCGGAAGAGAUAAGUGCUGAAAGCAUCUAAGCACGAAACUUGCCCCGAGAUGAGUUCUCCCUGACUCCUUGAGAGUCCUGAAGGAACGUUGAAGACGACGACGUUGAUAGGCCGGGUGUGUAAGCGCAGCGAUGCGUUGAGCUAACCGGUACUAAUGAACCGUGAGGCUUAACCUUACAACGCCGAAGGUGUUU